AUGUCUAGGACCACGCACAUAAAAUAUCAACAGACAACUUGGUUUCUCCACAGCCACACAAACCCCAAACCUACCCCACUUUAUAGCUGUUUUUCACACGUAAAUUCAAAUCCCUAUCUUCAUUUUCCUUUUCCACGGUCCAAAACACAUUCAUCUAGCUACCACACUGUCACAUCAUUCACCUCUUCACCCACCCAUCAACGUUUUUCCCAUUUUUUGGCUUUCAAAAAGUUAAUAAUCUUGAAUUAG